rnacentral:rRNA from 1 species
GACGAACGCUGGCGGCGCGCCUAACACAUGUAAGUCGAGCGGAGAUACUUGAAGGCAGUUUUCGGAUGGAAUUUGAGUACUUUAGCGGCGGACGGGGGAGUAACGCGUGAGUGACCUGCCUUCCACAGGGGGAUAACGUACCGAAAGGUACACUAAUCCCGCCUGAUACCACAGCACUGCCUGGGUCAGGGGCCAACGCAGCAAUCCGGUGGAAGAUGGACUCGCGUCCGAUUAGAUAGUUGGUGGGGGAACGGCCUACCAAGCCAGCGAUCGGUAGCCGACCGGAGAGGGUGAUCGGCCACAGUGGAACUGAGAGACGGUCCAAACACCUACGGGAGGCAGCAGUGGGGAAUAUUGGGCAAUGGGGGAAACCCUGAGCCAGCGACGCCGCGUGAGGGAAGAAGGUUGUCGGAUUGGAAACCUCUGUACUUGGUGAAGAGGGAAAGACGGUAGCCAAGGAGGAAGCCCCGGCUAACUACGUGCCAGCCGCCGCUGUAA